GAUGAACGCUGGCGGCGUGCCUAAUACAUGCAAGUCGAGCGAACAGAUGAGGAGCUUGCUCCUCUGACGUUAGCGGCGGACGGGUGAGUAACACGUGGAUAACCUACAUAUAAGACUGGGAUAACUUCGGGAAACCGGAGCUAAUACCGGAUAAUAUAUUGAACCGCAUGGUUCAAUAGUGAAAGACGGUUUUGCUGUCACUUAUAGAUGGAUCCGCGCCGCAUUAGCUAGUUGGUAAGGUAACGGCUUACCAAGGCAACGAUGCGUAGCCGACCUGAGAGGGUGAUCGGCCACACUGGAACUGAGACACGGUCCAGACUCCUACGGGAGGCAGCAGUAGGGAAUCUUCCGCAAUGGGCGAAAGCCUGACGGAGCAACGCCGCGUGAGUGAUGAAGGUCUUCGGAUCGUAAAACUCUGUUAUUAGGGAAGAACAAAUGUGUAAGUAACUAUGCACGUCUUGACGGUACCUAAUCAGAAAGCCACGGCUAACUACGUG
rnacentral:rRNA from 1 species